CGCAAGCCUGACGGAGCAAGACCGCGUGAGGGAGGAAGGCUCUUGGGUCGUAAACCUCUUUUAUCAGGGAAGAACACAAUGACGGUACCUGAUGAAUCAGCAUCGGCUAACUCUGUGCCAGCAGCCGCGGUAAUACAGAGGAUGCAAGCGUUAUCCGGAAUUAUUGGGCGUAAAGCGUCCGCAGGUGGUUAUGAAAGUUUGCUGUCAAAGCGCGAGGCUCAACUUCGUAACGGCGGUGAAAACUUCAAGACUAGAGCUAGGUAGGGGUCACGGGAAUUCCCAGUGUAGCGGUGAAAUGCGUAGAUAUUGGGAAGAACACCAGCGGCGAAAGCGCGUGACUGGGCCUGAACUGACACUGAGGGACGAAAGC
rnacentral:rRNA from 1 species